AUACAAAUGUAAAGAAGCUAUCAGAGGUAAUAUAAGUGAUAUGA
rnacentral:guide_RNA from 1 species